AUUGAACGCUGGCGGCAGGCUUAACACAUGCAAGUCGAGCGAGCGGCGGACGGGUGAGUAAUGUCUGGGAAACUGCCUGAUGGAGGGGGAUAACUAGUGGAAACGGUAGAUAAUACCGCAUAACAUCAGAUGUGCCCCGAUGGGAUGAGCGAGUAGGUGGGGUAAUGGCUCACCAAGGCGACGCUCCCUAGCUGGUCUGAGAGGAUGACCAGCCACACUGGAACUGAGACACGGUCCAGACUCCUACGGGAGGGAGCAGUGGGGAAUAUUGCACAAUGGGCGCAAGCCUGAUGCAGCCAUGCCGCGUGUGUGAAGAAGGCCUUCGGGUUGUAAAGCACUUUCAGCGGGGAGGCGUUACUCGCAGAAGAAGCACCGGCUAACUCCGUGCCAGCAGCCGCGGUAAUUC
rnacentral:rRNA from 1 species